rnacentral:lncRNA from 1 species
AUUUUUAGCUCAUCAGCUAUCAUUAGUGUUAGUGUAUUUUAUGUGUGGUCCAAGACAAUUUUUCUUCUUCCAGCGUGGCCCAGGGAAGACAAAAGAUGAGACACCCCUGCUUUGAAACAACCUCAUGAGGUGUGAGGUCCAGACAGGGGACUUCAUCUCUCUGAGCUGCCAUCUUCUCUCUAUAAAGUUAAGUCAACCAUAGAAUGCCCCUCCCAGAGGUGUGGGGAGGAUUCGAUGAGACAAUCCACAGGGCUGGCUAUCACGACUUCAUCCCCCUUUAUUUUAUGUGACACCUCUCUAAGCCUCAGUUUCCCCAUCUGUUAAAUGUGGUGGACGACCUCUACUCUGCCUCCCCCCCAGGGCUGGCAUGAGUUUCCACAGGGAGGAGGCUGAGAGGCCCCCUUUGUGGGAGUGGCAGCAUUUGGUUACUGCAGUUCAUGUUUCCAGCAGGAGCCUCAAAGUGUCUAAACACAGACUAUUUUUAGCACCAGAAUGAGGCUCUGGUGUUGAGCUGCCAACUUGAAGAUGGGUGGGGAAGAGCUGCCUGCAGGGGAAAGAAAAACAGAGGCAUAGCCUGCCCUGUGGUUCCUUACCUCCCCUGGGAGUAAAAUUAUGCCUCCCCCUUCCAGGUUCUAUUGGCUAGGGUAGGCCAGAAUGGAAGCCUGUGAGGCUGGGUAGGGGGCUGACUCCCUCUCUGUAAUCCCCAGCACCUGACUUGGGGGGCAGAGGCAGUUCGGAGGGACUGGGCAGGCCCAGCGACCAACUGACCCCCAGACCACCCAAGCUUCACCGAGAAAUAGCUAUUGAGAAAUCAGGUUCAUGAAGGUUUGAUUUCUUAAGAGUUCUGGGUAGGAGACCCAUCUGGGAAGUUUCCAAGAAACUGGGGAGCCCAGGUAAAAUUUCAGUCUUGUUCUAAUAAUAAAAAUAUCAGAAGUCACUGGUGUUUGUUGAGCGCAUACUAUAUGCCAGUCAUCUUAUUCCCAUUGUGCCUUUUAAUCCCCACUAUCAUUCUUUGAGGUGGUCAUUAACUUCUUUGAACAUCAGUUUCCCCAUCUAUAGAGUGAUGAUGUAAUAUAAUUUAUCUCUUAGGGUUAGCGUGAGAACUAAAUAAGUCAAUAUAUACAAAUAUAUCAUAUCUAUAUGUAUUAGGUGCAAAUGCUACAUCUUAUAAUAAUUUCUGGAGAAUACAUGUGGUUUUGCCUGUUCAGUGCCCCUUCAUUCUGAUACAAGGACUCUAUUUUCCUUCACGGAAUUUCUCCCUCAUUAAUUCUCAGCUCAUGUGGCUUGGAUAGAAUGGAUUCCUCUUGCCAGUUGCUGCAGACAUUCCUAUACCUCCCUCCUGAUGCAUGUAUAUAAUAAUUAAUGUAGAGUGCAUGUAUACCUAGGAGUGAAAGCGCUAGUUUUUGUCUGUUUGUUUUUGUUUUUGUAUGAGCAUCUUAUGAUUAUCCUAAAAGAUGCCAGUUUUUUUCCAAGGUUGCUGUAGUCACAACUUCCCCAGUACAGUUUGAGCAUUCCUGCUGCUCCAAAUCCACACCAACACUUAAUGUUGUCAGUCCUUUCCUUUUUGGUCAGUUUGGUAGAUCUGUAACAGAUGCCAUAUGUGCCCCACCCACAGAGUUAAAUUCUGAAUGUUCAUCUGGUUGUCUGAGGGGUUUCUCCAGCACCUUGAAUGCUUUUUGUGCUUGUGUGGUUGGCAGGCAAGACAUGCUAGAAUAUUAACAUUUGGAAGCAGCUGCAAAUAUGACUGAUGGGAGUUGGUGUAUAAAUGCCCCAGCUCCCUUGCUCCUCAGCUGGAAUAACUCUGCAGUGUGUAUUUCUCCAGUGGGACUUAGCCUCAACCACCCUCUGUAACAGAUGACUCAAUAAUACACCCUUUAUUGAUUUCUUCCCUUCCCUGUCUCACUUCCCCGCUCAGGGAAGGACAGGAGUAAGUAUACUCUUUAUUUCCUAAAUGAACUACUUAUCAGUGGUAUUCAUUUCUUGGAAUAGUUGAUUCCUUAGAAUAGGAAUCAAUAUGGUUGAUUCAUAUCAUAUCAAUGGUUUUUCAACCUUUUCCUUAUCAUAGACAUGUAAAAUAUUUCCAGUCUUCCCUCUUUUAUAAAUAAGUAACGCUAUGAUAAACAUCCUGUAUGUAAAUCUUUAUACAGAUCCCCGGAAAGCAAUAUAGGACCUUUCAACAAUGAUGAGACAUCGGCAUAUUAUACCCACUUUACAGAUGAGAAAGCUAAAGUUCACAGAGAUUAAGUAACUUGCCCAGACACACAAAAAGUGGAGCAUGAAUUCAAGUGCAAAACUGAGCCUCAGUGUCAUGAUGCCAUGGCGGACACUAUGCAGACCAGCAAGGCAGCUAUUCCCUGUCUUAACCACUAAUCCCUCAGUUGAAUCCAAGCCUUGAUGAAAGGAACCUUUCUGAGCCUGAAGAUAUGGAUGGCCAUGCCUCGAACACUUCUCAGGUAGAUAACCCCCAAUUCCUUUAAUCAAAGUUCUUUCUCACCCUUCUUGGUGGUGGACCAGCCAUUUGGCAAGUGAAAGACUUAAUGAAACAGCUUGAGAAGAAAUGCCAUUAUAAAUGCCAAAUCCUUUCCCUCAUUGUCUUAGGAAUCCAGAAUUUUAGUAACCCAGCUAACCCUAGGGAAGGCUUUUGCACCCCGUACAGUGGGUGGACCCUCUCUGGGACACACCCUUCCAUUCAUUGGUGUGCUGUAGUUUAAUGAUUCCAUCGUGCUCAUGAUGGAUAUAUUGUGGUUCUGCAGAUCUUUGAUGCAACAAUUCUGCAGAAUCUUUGACACAACAAUCCCACUUUUUUGACCAGGAAGCAUGUACACACCAGGAAAGCUUCACCAGGUUCCUAGGCACACCCGUAUGUUGCCCCCUACACUUGCUCACCCCACCUCCAGAAAGAAUCCCCUGGGUCCCCACACUUCCCUCUGUUCCCAGGAAGGAAACUCACUCAGCACUACCCUACGCUCACAGCCUGCCAACCAUGUCCAUUUUCAUUUAUCUUCCCCAAAACUCAAGAAAAUAAAUGAGAAGGCAAAGUGCCAUUAGCUUAAUGGCCUUUAACACCCAGCCAUCUGCCAUGAUGUAAUUAAAUAAAAAAAUCAGAGGGAGCAUAUGGUGUCCGUUAUAAAUAAAUAUUAAAAUUUUGUUUAUCUGGGUAAUGACUCUAGUGCCUCUUGCUCCAUGGGCAAUCUUUACAGCCAUCUUCGCUUGUUGCAGGGUCAGGGUGGGCCACUAUGGACAGGAAUGGCCACGGAGAGGAAACGUGGAAAGGGGUCAGGGCCAGAGUCACACACUCCUGCAUCUGAACCUGCCUCAGGGCGGUGGUGGCUGUGUGAUCUUCAGCAAGGGGCCUCUCUGUGACUCAGUUUUCUCACCUGCAAAAUAGAGCCAAUCCACCCUGCCUCAUUGGAAAGCAAGUGACAGAGCUACAAGAAAGCCUGGAGAUCCAACACCUAGCGAAACAGCCUUCCUUUACAUAAGGGGAAACUGAGGCUUGGAGAAACUUGAAUGAAAUAACCUCUGUCCAUAUAAAAUGUCUCGCAUAGACCUGGACCCAAGUAAGUGCUCAAUACUUUUUAGCUAUUACCAAGAUUAUGAUUAUGAUACCAUAGAAUCCUAGAGUUCAAAGGGCCCUUAGACACCAGCUAGUUCAAGUCUGAUGUUUUACAGAUGAGGAACCCGGGGGCUCAGAGAGGCUGGAGGAGUGGUCCAGAGUCACACAGCCAGGCCAGGGCUGAGCUGGUUCCUGCCCUGCAGGUUUCUUCCCAGAGCACACGCUGCUCCCUGGCAGCCCCCAUUGCUCCCAGCCGCAAACACGAGCAAAUUGCCAUUUGCUGGUUCCACACUGACCACGGUGGAUUGAACUCUAAUUUAGGAACGGUGACAGCACCUAUUAGCAACCCUUCCCCAAAGAGGAACUUUCCACCAGGAGUGAAAAAUAACUGCCAUCCCCACCCCCAAAUCACCCAAGCCCAAUCUUUCUGUCCAAGGCAGUGUGUGUGUGUUUGGGGGGUGGUGGUGGAGAGGUGGUCUCUGUGCUCCCCAGCCCACCUCUACAGGUUCAAAUUCUCUUCCCCUGUCCCGGAGAACCUUGUGCCCUUGGAGGGGUUGCCAGCACCUACUGCCAGCUCUGAGCAGGACUGAGAGGUGGGCUCACAGCCAUCAAAGCAGGAGGGAGGACUGUUCAUAACCUCCAGCUUGCUUUUCUCCUUUAAAUACUGAAGCCCUCAAAGUCAUCUCUGGAGAAAUGCACAGACCUCUCUCCUGGGCAUAUCCUUAACCUUGGCAAAAUGAACUUCUAAACUGAUUGAGACCUGUCUCAGAUAGUUUUUGGUUUAGUUUCAAUGUUGGUGGGCUCUCCAAUUGUGAAAUUUUUUUCUAAGCUCCUAAGAUCUCAUCUCCCAUGUCAAAGUUGAAAUUCUCUCCGGGAGACAGUCAUGCCUCGCUGCCUUCCAGUGACCAGGAUGAAAGAUGCACCCAUGAAUUAUAUAUUUCAAGUCAUCUCUAAAUUGCCUGGCAAUUACAGAACAGCAAGGUCAGCUGCCGGGAGCAAGAAUCUCCCUUUUGGCAGAGAAAAACAGAUGGAUGGAAACACAACGAUAUACAGAAAGAUGUUACCUCUUGGAGGGGGGGUGUUUUUCAGAUGCUGGUCACCAUAGAUGCUGGUCACCACCAUGCCCUUUCAUAAGUGUCCUUACAAAAGGAGGAAAUCAGGACAGAUACAUCCAGAGGGAAGACGCUAUGAAGACACAGAGAAGAGGGCCAUCUAUGCCAAGGAGAGGGGUAGGAAGCAAAUUCUUCCCACACACACCUCGGAGGAACCAACCCUGCUGACACCUUAAUUUUGGACUUCCAGCUUCCAGAACUGUGAGAUAAUAAAUUUUAGUUGUUUAAGCUACUCAGCAUGUGGUGUUUUGUUACAGCAACCCUAGCAAACUGAUACACCAGUGCUCUGCAUAGGACCUCAACAUUUCCUUUUCCUUUUUUUUUAAUGAGAGAGAAUUCAUAUGUGGCAUGGUAAAAACAAGUGCGCAGGAAUUUCACAUAUGUACACACCCAGGUGACCCACCCAGAUCAAGACUCUGAACAUUCCCCUGGCUCCUAGAGGCUCUCCACUGUCCCCUCUCAGCGAAUCACCCUCCCCAGGGGCCAUCACUUUUCUAACUUCUAUCACCAUAGGUUAGCUUUGUACAUUCUUGAGCCUCUUAUUAUUAUUUUAGAAAUGGGGCCUCACUAUUUGCCCAGGCUGGUCUUGAACUCCUGAGCUCAAGUGUGAUCCUCCCAUCCCAGCAUCCCAAAGUGCUGAGAUUACAGGUGUGAGCCACCACGCCCAGCUGUUGAGCCUCAUAAAUGGCUGAACAAUGUUGAACAAAGGAAGCUGGCCCCUUACAUUUAAACUCAUUUGUGCCAUAUAAAAACCCCUUGAGACAGGCACUAUAAUUAUCUUCAUUUUACAGGUGUAGAAUCAGAGGCCCAGAGAGCUUCAGUAACUUGUUCAAGGUCACACAGCUAGGGUGUAGGAGGCAGAGCCAGGAUUUGACUGGGUAAGUCUGGCUGCACUCACUAUACUUACUGCUUUUAAAUACACAGCAAGUGCCCAGUAACUAUAAUCACGGCGACUUCUAACAAGCAGGGGCUCUCACUCUGGGCCAGGCACCAUGCCAGCUCUCUCCACAUUACUUCAUCUAACUCGCACACCAGUCCUAUUUAGUAUUUUUAAAAUAUAUCUAUAUAAAAUAAUACACAUAAUAUAUAUUACACAUAUAUACAUACUAAAUUUUCUAUACCUCAUAAUAUUACCAGUGAGAAACACUAAUACAAGCCCCAUUUAACAGAGGAGUAAACUGAGGCUCAGAGCAUUGAAUAAUGGAUGCAAGGUCAUAGACUCAGCAAGAGGCAGAGCUGGGAUGGCUUGCAGAACUCGUGCUUAUAACUACUGACAUCAGCUGCCUCCUGCCAGCUGCUGCUAAGAGCAGCACCAGGACCACAGAACUCAACAACCUGUGCUUUAAUUAAAAUCACAAUGAGAUGCCACCACACACCUGAUUUUUUCCAGUCACUUCUAAUCGCUUUCACGUGGGCUGUUCUAAUCGUCUAGACAGGAGGUUUUUAAAUUCCAGUACACACACAUUGUACUGGAAUGGCUCAAAUAAAAAAAAACAAAAACAAAAAACAAAAACUAAUCCCAAGUGCUGGAGAGGAUGUGGAGCAACUGGAACUCCCAUCCAUCCAUGGUAGGAAUGUGAAAAGGUAUACUGCCACUUUGGAAAACAGUUUGACCAUUUCUUAAAAAGUUAAAUGUCCACUCCUAGGUAUUUGCCCAAGAGAAAUGAAAACCCAUGCUCAGGCAAAAAUCUGCAUGCAAAUAUUUAUAGCAACUUUAUUUGUAAUUGCCAAAAAUGAAAGCAAACAAAUGGUGAAUGAACAAACUGUGGUGCCUCCAUACAACGGAGUACUACUCAGCCAUGAAAAGGAAUCAGCUACUGAUGACACAACAGCACUGAUAAACCUCAAAGGCAUCAUGCAUUAUGCCGAGUGAAAGAAGCCAGACUCAAAGGCUAUUAUGAUUCCAUUUAUAUGACACUCUGGUAAUGGCAGAAAAGAAAGACAACACAAAACAGAUAGUGGUUGUCAGGGGCGAGAGAUGAAAGAGGGAUUGACCACAGAGGGGCAAAGAGGAAUUGAGGGUGAUGGAACAUUUGUUCAUCUUGAUUGCAGUAGAGGUUAUAUGGUUGUACACAUUUGUCAAAACUUGCCAAACUGUACACUAAAAUGGGUGCAUUUUACUGUAGGUAAACGAUACUCAAUACAAAACAUUAAAGAAAAUAUAACAAUAGGCCGGGCGUGGUGGCUCGCGCCUGUAAUCCCAGCACUUUGGGAGG